GAGUGUGUUGCCAUGCCCUCCUCCAGCGGGUCUCCCCAACCCAGGGAUCGAACCCAGGUUUCUGCAUUGUAGGCGGAUUCUUUACCAUCUGGACCACCAGGGAAGCCCACCACCCCUGACAGAGGAGGACCGGUCUUCCGUCAAGGGUAUAGGAGUAGCUGCGCUCCCCUGCUAGAACUUCCAACAAGCUCUCAAGGUGUCCUUAUAAGAAGAGGAAACUAGGACUCAAACAUACAGAG
rnacentral:snRNA from 1 species